CCUACGGGAGGCAGCAGUAGGGAAUCUUUCACAAUGGGCGAAAGCCUGAUGGAGCAACGCCGCGUGCAGGAUGAAGGCCUUCGGGUUGUAAACUGCUUUUAUAAGCGAGAAAUAUGAUGGUAACUUAUGAAUAAGGCUCGGCUAACUACGUGCCAGCAGCCGCGGUCAUACGUAGGAUCCGAGCAUUAUCCGGAGUGACUGGGUGUAAAGAGUUGCGUAGGUGGCAUAAUAAGUAGCUAGUGAAAUCUGGUGGCUUAACCAUUCAGAUUAUUAUCUAAACUGUUAAGCUCGAGACCGUUAGGGGUAACUGGAAUUUCUAGUGUAGGAGUGAAAUCCGUAGAUAUUAGAAGGAACACCAAUAGCGUAGGCAGGUUGCUGGGACGGUUCUGACACUAAGGCACGAAAGCGUAGGGAGCAAACGGGAUUAGAUACCCCUGUAGUC
rnacentral:rRNA from 1 species